rnacentral:rRNA from 1 species
CCUACGGGAGGCAGCAGUGGUGAAUAUUGCACAAUGGGGGAAACCCUGAUGCAGCAACGCCGCGUGAGUGAGGAAGUAUUUCGGUAUGUAAAGCUCUAUCAGCAGGGAAUAGAAAAGAAGGUACCUGAAAAAGAAGCACCGGCUAACUACGUGCCAGCAGCCGCGGUAAUACGGAGGGUGCGAGCGUUAAUCGGAAUUACUGGGCGUAAAGCGCUCGUAGGCGGUAUGGCAAGUACAGGGUGAAAUCCCCGCGCUCAACGUGGGAACUUCCGUUGAAAAUGGCAAACUGGAGUGUGUGAGAGGAUAGUGGAAUGACAGGUGUAGGAGUGAAAUCCGUAGAUAUCUGGAGGAACAUCAGUGGCGAAGGCGACUAUCUGGCACAUAACUGACGCUGAGGAGCGAAAGCGUGGGUAGCAAACAGGAUUAGAUACCCGGGUAGUC